AUUAAAUUGAAACUGUUUUCCUUUGCAUUGUUUUAGUUCAAUUUUUUUUGCCUUGUUGAAUGAACAAAGUAUGUCACCCACUUUAGUUGUAUUGUUUGAUUUGCAUCUCUGGGUAUCUUUAUCACUUUUCGGUCUGUCUCACUAAAUUAACGCCCCAAAUAAUAGUGUUAGUGAAAGGAAAAUAGUAAUUUGAUCAACAAAUGUCAACUCAUGGCUUAUAGCUUUGCAGGGUAAGAAUAAUUGACGUUGGUGAUCUGUCACUCUUUCAAGUUUGCCUCUAAUUGGGUAUUUAGAUAAAUAUGUAACUAUGCUUUUACCAAGUGAGAAAUCUUUUGCAUGGGUCGGUUUUUUUACUAGUUGGACAUUUUUUUAAUAUAUUUUCUGCUUAAGAUGUUGCCUUAAGAAUCAUAGCUACCCUUCAUUUUAUUCAAACUUUGCAGACUUCGAAUUAACAAUUAUGUUGUUAUUAUACUUUUUUGUUUUCUCUGCUUUUUUUUUUUCCUAGUUGGACAUGUUUUUAGUAUGAAUAAAAUGUGCUCUAAAGUUUCCUGCAUUAAGUUAAGGUUUAGUUGCAUCUGCUUCUAGUUGAAUUUGAAAAUAAAUCUAGUUCUUUCACACGCUCUCUAUUUUUUUUGCUACACUAGAUUGCUCUUCUUUCUCAUUCAAUACUAGGCUGCACAACAUCUUAAUUGAAGGAGCAGAGUUUUGUAUAUGAAUGACCUUUGAUUAUCACCGCACAGAUUGUGACAUCCAUGUUUGGGUCAAAUUAUUUGUGGGUUUUGUGUAGUUCUUCUUAUCAUGGUGUUUUUGCAGCAUAUAGAAAGUGUCAGAUUUUGAUUCAGUUAAGACAGGGCUUAUUAGCAAAUGACUUACCUUGAAAAGAAAAGGAGAGGAGAUUACUAGUAAAUCACGGGAUCAAUAGAGGUGUUGCAAUGAAUAGCCCUGUCCCAGCAAGUGCAUUCUCAAAUGCUUUGUUAAAUGAAUUGUUAUCCCCCCAUAAAUAAAUUUUAUCAUUCCUGUGGCUGACAGUGGAUGUCCAAGAAUAAAUCCUACAAAAAAUGGAUCAUUACCUCAUUGAAUUGUUAUGAUACCAAGUGCUUAACAGGAAUAAAGUUGGUGAUGGAUUCAUGCGAUGGCUUGAAUUGAAAUGGUGAGACUGUUCAAUGGGAAAUUUGGUCUCACCAUCACAAAGAUGCUCCGAGGCAUAGAUACAAAUAUUUGAGGAAGCAAUGUAAUGAUAGAAAGAUUUCAACAGUGAAGAUCCAGAUCUGAUGAUUGGUCAAGUUGACUGGACAUAAAAUUGGAGAUCAACAAUGGUGUCCUUCAGAUGGGGAUUGUGAUAUUUGGGGAUAUGCAAUAUACAUCUGCGGAGUUCGAAAAUAUUAUCUGAGGAAAAAAAAAAUCCGCAACUUCAUAGUCCUCAGCAUGUUCUCAAAAAGUUUAGAGAACCAUCAAGGAAAAGUUACUAAUAUUGGAGGAGAAGCCACGUGUAGUCAAAAGGCUCAAAACAUAUGCGAGUAUUGGGGAGGAGUUGGGAAGCUUAUUAGUUGGUACUCAAGUGCUUUCGAAACAACUCAAGCUUAGCAACCUCAAGAACAAAGACCGGAGAGGCCUAUUAGGUUGUGCACAACUAUUGAAAAAAAAAAUGUCUAUCAUUUCCAAAUAAAGGUACUUUUUAUUGAUGGGGUUGGGCUUAUGCUUAUAAGCUUCAAACCAAGAAUAUAAAAGUUACCAAUUCUCCCUUUUAACACAUUGUUUGACAGUAGUUGACUUUUAGAGCACCUUACAAUCAUAAAUUGUGAAAUCAUCAAAAGAUUAAUUGUAUGUCAUUUCCUAUCAGACUACUCGUUCGAAGGUAGAUUUGGAUUUACAAUAAUAAGAGCAAGAGCAAGAUCAGGGAGCAGCUUAGUUAACCUAGGGUUCUAUUAAGUAGAGGAGCUCCUAACUCUGAG